CUUAUUAGGGUGGUGCGGGCCUCUCUGGGCUCACAGAGGUUCUUGCUUCUCACAUGCAGGCUUUGUGCCGCUUCCCUUCUUCCUCCGGCACGACUCCCCAAUGUCCUGGGACCUCUGCGCCCAUAUCCCGGCUGCCGAGAGCCUGGACUCGUGGGAGAGCAGCUUGCUGUGGGAUGGAGGGUCUCUGGUCAUCGCCAAUUCUUCCCAGGGGCAGCCGGGGACGCCAGGGGGAGCUGGCUCCAUCUCCCCACAGCCACCUCUGGAUCUCUCCGGGUUUCCUUUGGCCGAGCCCUGGGACGUCCUCUCGCCGGAUGCCCCCGCUGACGCAGCCCCCGAUUUCGUUCACCCCCUGGUGACGGCUGUUCACCUGGAUCCUGGUGCGCCGUGGUUGAUGUCAAGGAUAAAUCCAGCUGGAUCUACUCCCACUCCACCACCUCUGGAUUCUGCUGGUUUUCCUUCGCCCGAGCUCUGGACCGGGCCCCACAUGGACGCCCCUCCUGAUGCAGCCCCCGAUCCCGCUCUGCCCCCCGUGGCUACUGCCUGCCUGGAUCCCGCAGACGUACCCCCGACAUCAAUGACAAAUCCAGACUUGGGUGAAGUCUUGGCCCACGUCUCUCACACUCUGAGAUGCCACCCCAAGGGUAUGAGGGUGAAGCCGCUGACGAAGAGGCUGCGGAAGGAGCAUGGGGUGGACCUGUUGGCAUUCAGCCAGGACGGGGGGUACCAGGGAGUCGUGUCCUUCCUGCAGGAGACGCCGGGUAUCGAACUCUGGAACCCCGAGAAGGGAGAGAAGUGUCGUGUCCUGAGCUGUACCUUUAAGAAGAGUGAGUGGGGAGAUGGUUUCUUGUAGGGCUGCCCCAGCCCGGCCCCCUUCCUGAAUGUGGAGAGAGCCCCUGGCCAAUGGCACACUGGCCUCUCCGCACCCAGCUGUGUCUCCCCCAGUGCAUGCUGGGGAAACAUGGCCCAUGGCCUGUCUGUAUCCUGCUGCCCAGUAUCUCUCAUGGUGUCUCUGUCUUGCCAGACGUCACAGACCCCCUGCCGCUGCUCUGCAGCACCCUGGGCUCCUUCCCCAAUGGCCUGCGGGUCUUCAGUCUGAGGAAGGCCAUGUGGCAGAGGCACGGGGUGAACUUGGAGGAAUUCAGCCAGCAACAGGGAUAUCUGAGCACCCUGGACUAUCUGACCAGGCUGCGUGGGAUCAGGCUGCAGGGGCUGGAGAGAGGGGAAAAGUGUCUUGUCCAGCUUCAGAAGGGUGAGGAGAGAGGGAUGGGGUCCAGGCGUCAGGGCUGAACUGGUCUUAGGUAGGAUGAGGGCAGGUUAUCCCACUGCUCACACCAAUGGACAUCCCGCAUCUUCCUCUGAGGCCAAAUGGACUAGAUGGCCCUUUGGGCUUCCUCCCCCAUGAGAUUUCAUCUCCCACAAUGCACUGUCCUACUGCCAUCAUGCACCACCUCCCGCCACCAAGAAUAGAGGCUAUGGUGCAUUGUGGGAGAUGUAGUCCGACCAGGGAGCCUGGGCUGUAGAGGAGAAUGGCAGUCACAAGGCAUCUGAACUACAACUCCCAUGAAGCACCGCAGUGACUUUUCUAAAUUGAAACAGCUCACUGAAAACUUGAAAUUUUCUAUGGAAAAUCUGGAGCACAGUGAGUCCUUUUUGCCUCAUGUUUUCUUGACAAGCACGACCCCCCCCCCUUUUUUUUUUUGACAAAAGCGACUUUUUUCCCUCACUCUUUUUUGACAUCAGCCAUUUUUCUCUGAUUUUUGACAAAAGCGAGGUUUUUUCCCUCCAUAUUUUUUUUUGACAAAAAUGACAGUUUUCCAUCUGUUUUCUUGACA
ensembl:lncRNA